CCUACGGGAGGCAGCAGUGGGGAAUCUUGCGCAAUGGGCGAAAGCCUGACGCAGCAACGCCGCGUGCGGGAAGAAGGCUUUCGGGCUGUAAACCGCUUUCAGCAGGAACGAAAAUGACGGUACCUGCAGAAGAAGGAGCGGCCAACUAUGUGCCAGCAGCCGCGGUGAUACAUAGGCUUCAAGCGUUGUCCGGAUUUAUUGGGCGUAAAGAGUUCGUAGGCGGUCGAGUAAGUCGGGUGUGAAAAUUCUGGGCUCAACCCAGAGACGCCACCCGAUACUGCUUGACUUGAGUUCGAUAGGGGAGUGGGGAAUUCCUAGUGUAGCGGUGAAAUGCGCAGAUAUUAGGAGGAACACCGGUGGCGAAGGCGCCACUCUGGAUCGAUACUGACGCUGAGGAACGAAAGCAUGGGUAGCAAACAGGAUUAGAUACCCUGGUAGUCCAUGCCGUAAACGGUGGGCACUAGGUGUGGGUUUCCUAUUAACGAAAUCCGCGCCGUCGCUAACGCAUUAAGUGCCCCGCCUGGGGAGUACGGUCGCAAGCUAAAACUCAAAUGAAUUGACGGCUGAGAGNGCGAGCGACGACGAGGAGAG
rnacentral:rRNA from 1 species